AUUGAACGCUGGCGGCAGGCCUAACACAUGCAAGUCGAGCGGCAGCGGGAAAGUAGCUUGCUACUUUUGCCGGCGAGCGGCGGACGGGUGAGUAAUGCCUGGGGAUCUGCCCAGUCGAGGGGGAUAACUACUGGAAACGGUAGCUAAUACCGCAUACGCCCUACGGGGGAAAGCAGGGGACCUUCGGGCCUUGCGCGAUUGGAUGAACCCAGGUGGGAUUAGCUAGUUGGUGAGGUAACGGCUCACCAAGGCGACGAUCCCUAGCUGGUCUGAGAGGAUGAUAAGCCACACUGGAACUGGGACACGGUCCAGACUCCUACGGGAGGCAGAAGUGGGGAAUAUUGCACAAUGGGGGAAACCCUGAUGCAGCCAUGCCGCGUGUGUGAAGAAGGCCUUCGGGUUGUAAAGCACUUUCAGCGAGGAGGAAAGGUUGGUAGCUAAUAACUGCCAGCUGUGACGUUACUCGCAGAAGAAGCACCGGCUAACUCCGUGCCAGCCGCCGCCGUAAAAC
rnacentral:rRNA from 1 species